rnacentral:rRNA from 1 species
GUCAGGCAGCGGCACGGGACUUCGGUCUGGUGGCAGUGGCGAACGGGUGAUAAUGUAUCGGAACGUGCCUAGUAGCGGGGGAUAACUACGCGAAACGUAGCUAAUACCACAUACGCCCUUCGGGGGAAAGCUAAGGGGACCUUCGGGCCUCGCACUAUUAGAGCGGCCGAUAUCGGAUUAGCUAGUUGGUGGAGUAACGGCUCACCAGACGACGAUCCGUAGCUGGUUUGGGAGGACUGACCAGCCACACUGGGACUGAAUACAGCCCAGACUCCUACGGGAGGCAGCAGUGGGGUACCUGGACAAUGGGGGAAACCCUGAUCCAGCCAUCCCGCGUGUGCGAUGAAGCCUUCGGGUUGCCAGCACUUUUGGCAGGAAAUAAGAAACGGCACGGGAUAUACCCAUUGCAACUGACAGUACCUGCAGAAUGGCACCGGCUAACUACGAUACCAGCAGCCGCGGUAAUACGUAGGGUGCAAGCGUUAAUCGGAGUUACUGGGCGUAAAGCGUGCGCAGGCGGUUCGGAAGAAGAGAUGCUUAAUCCAAGAGCUUAACUGGAACUGCAUUUUUAACUACCGAGCUAGUGUGUCAGAGAGGGAGGUGGAAUUCCGCGUGUAGCAGUGAAAUACGCGUAGUCUGCGGAGGAACACCGAUGGCGAAGGCAGCCUCCUGGGAUGCUUUUGACGCUCAUGCACGAAAGCGUGGGGAGCAAACAGGAUUAGAUACCCUGGUAAUUCACGCCCUAAACGAUGUCAACUAGCUGUUGGGGCCUUCCGGGCCUUGGUAAGCCUGCAGCUAACGCGUGAGAUUGACCGCCUAGGAGAUACGGGAGUCGCAAGAUUAAAACUCAAAGGAAUUGACGGGGACCCGCACAAGCGGUGGAUGAUAAUGGAUUAAUUCGAUGCAACGCGAAAAACCUUACCUACCCUUGACAUGUCUGGAAUCGAAGAGAUUUGGGAGUGCUCGCAAGAGAACCGGAACACAGGUGCUGCAUGGCUGUCGUCAGCUCGUGUCGUGAGGAUGUUGGGUUAAGUCCCGCAACGAGCACAACCCUUGUCAUUAGUUGCUACGAAAGGGCACUCUAAUGGGAACUGCCGGUGACAAACGGAGGAAGGUGGGGAUGACGUCAAGUCCUCAUGGCCCUUAUGGGUAGGGCCCCACGCGUCUGCAAUGGUCGGGACAGAGGGUCGCCAACCCGCGAGGGGGAGCCAAUCCGAAACCCGAUCAUCGAAAUCCGGAUCGCAGUCUGCAACUCGACUGCGUGAAGUCAGGAAUCGCUAGUAAUCGCGGAUCAGCAUGUCUGCGGUAGACCGUUCCCGGGGUCUUGUACCACCGCCCAUCACACCAUGGGGAAUAGGUUUUACCAGUAGUUAGCCUAACCGUAAGGAGGGCGAUUACCACGGUAGGAUUCAUGACUGGGGUGAAGUCGUAACAAGGUAA